rnacentral:sRNA from 1 species
UGGGCCCCCAGGGCCAUUCCUGGCACACACAGAUGCUGGACUCCAAGCCCCAGGCCCCCUCCCUGCCCCGGCUGGUGACAAGGGGGACCUCCUGCUCCAGGCAGUGCAACAGAGCUGCCUGGCGGACCAUCUGCUGACAGCGUCAUGGGGGGCAGAUCCAGUCCCAACCAAGGCUCCUGGAGAGGGACAAGAAGGGCUUCCCCUGACUGGGGCCUGUGCUGGAGGUGUGGGCGUGCCCGGGGAGGCGGGGAGCGCGGGAGGGGCCAGUGCACCUGGACGGACACUUGAGAAGGGGGCUGGGGAUUGGGGAGCUGGAGAAUUAGGAGGGGACCACCGUUCCCACUGUCCUCCCCUCCUCAGGCCCAGGGCUCCCUGCUGGGGAGCUGUACGGGUGGGCAGUAGAGACGACCCCCAGCCCCGGGCCCCAGCCCGCGGCACUAACGACAGGUGAGAGGGGUAGGGGUUGGGAGGCCUGGGGCACAGGGAGGGGCUAGGGAUGAGGUGCCAGCACAGGAUUCCCUUCCGGAUGCAGGCGAGGCCGCGGCCCCAGAGUCCCCGCACCAGGCAGAGCCGUACCUGUCACCCUCCCCAAGCGCCCGCACCGCGGUGCAAGAGCCCAGCCCAGGGGCGCUGGACGUGACCAUCAUGUACAAGGG